CCCCUCUCAGGGUUGCACCUGGAGCGUUUCCAGUACUCUACCAGUCUCGACCAUGGGAGGGAGAGUCAAGUAGAGGCAUAUCCAUUCCAUUCCUAGCUUGGGUCAUGGCUAGCGUUUGGAAAGCAAUCUGCUACAAGU